rnacentral:lncRNA from 1 species
AUCAGCAACCAAUUGAUUCCCUAGGGUGCUAGCUGUUAGAUGUAUGCGCUAAAAGUCAAUCUGACCGACACAUUAAUUUUUUCUAGGAUAUAAUUUUAUACUUGACUUAAUUAAUUAGAGCAGUUAAUUUCAUUCAUGUAGUGUAUGUUGAGAAAUAUAUCCUAAAGCCAAUCGUUUGACGAUUGUGCUAAUUAUAAAUAUAUAUGAAUUGAUCAAUAAUAAAAGUUAUUUGAUUUUUUUUUAUCAUAAGAUUAUAUCUUCUAAUGAACUUCUAUAUUGUGAUAAA